rnacentral:rRNA from 3 species
UACAGAGGGGGCGAGCGUUGUUCGGAAUUACUGGGCGUAAAGGGCGCGUAGGCGGCCUGCUAAGUCAUACGUGAAAUCCCUCGGCUCAACCGGGGAACUGCGUGUGAUACUGGCGGGCUUGAAUCCGGGAGAGGAAUGCGGAAUUCCAGGUGUAGCGGUGAAAUGCGUAGAUAUCUGGAGGAACACCGGUGGCGAAGGCGGCAUUCUGGACCGGCAUUGACGCUGAGGCGCGAAAGCCAGGGGAGCAAACGGG